AACGCACGAGACCUGCGGACCUGCGGAGGGAUCAUUAAUGAGAAACUGCCCCUCGCGGGUAGAUCUCCCACCCUUUGUAAACUUACCUUUGUUGCUUUGGCAGGCCCGUCUCCGGACCGCCGGCUUCGGCUGGCCAGUGCCUGCCAGAGGAUUCUAAAACUCUGUCUGUCAGUGUUGUCUGAGUCUAUAAACAAUCGUUAAAACUUUUAACAACGGAUCUCUAGAUCGGAAGAGCACACG
rnacentral:misc_RNA from 1 species